GCCGCUGUGGUGAAAUUGGUAUACACGUAGCACUCAAAAUGCUAUGGGGGCAACCCCGUGACGGUUCGAGUCCGUCCAGCGGCA
rnacentral:tRNA from 1 species